CCUACGGGAGGCAGCAGUGAGGAAUAUUGGUCAAUGGACGAGAGUCUGAACCAGCCAAGUAGCGUGAAGGAUGACUGCCCUAUGGGUUGUAAACUUCUUUUAUAUGGGAAUAAAAUGUUCCACGUGUGGGAUUUUGUCUGUACCAUAUGAAUAAGGAUCGGCUAACUCCGUGCCAGCAGCCGCGGUAAUACGGAGGGUCCGAGCGUUAUCCGGAUUUAGUGGGUUUAAAGGGAGCGUAGGUGGAUUUUUAAGGCAGUUGUGAAAGUUUGGGGGUUAACCGUAAAAUGGAAGUUGAAACUGGCGGUCUUGAGUGCAGUAGAGGUGGGCGGAAUUCGUGGUGUAGCGGUGAAAUGCUUAGAUAUCACGAGGAACACCGGUUGCGAAGGCAGCUCACUGGACUGCAACUGACGCUGAGGCUCGAAAGUGUGGGUAUCAAACAGGAUUAGAUACCCUUGUAGUC
rnacentral:rRNA from 1 species